rnacentral:rRNA from 1 species
UACGGAGGGUGCAAACGUUGCUCGGAAUCAUUGGGCGUAAAGCGCACGUAGGCGGUUCGUUAAGUCGGAUGUGAAAGCCCUCGGCUCAACCGAGGAAGGGCAUCCGAAACUGGCGUGCUUGAGUACGGAAGAGGGUCUCGGAAUUCCCGGUGUAGAGGUGAAAUUCGUAGAUAUCGGGAGGAACACCAGUGGCGAAGGCGGAGACCUGGGCCGAUACUGACGCUGAGGUGCGAAAGCGUGGGGAGCAAACAGG